rnacentral:rRNA from 1 species
UGGGGGAUAUUGCACAAUGGGGGAAACCCUGAUGCAGCGACGCCGCGUGUAGGAAGACGGUCCUCUGGAUUGUAAACUACUGUCCCCAGGGACGAAGAUGACGGUACCUGGGGAGGAAGCUCCGGCUAACUACGUGCCAGCAGCCGCGGUAAUACGUAGGGAGCGAGCGUUGUCCGGAAUUACUGGGUGUAAAGGGAGCGUAGGCGGGGAUGCAAGUUGGGUGUUAAAUCUACCGGCUCAACUGGUAGUCGCACUCAAAACUGCAGCUCUUGAGUGAAGUAGAGGCAGGCGGAAUUCCUAGUGUAGCGGUGAAAUGCGUAGAUAUUAGGAGGAACACCAGUGGCGAAGGCGGCCUGCUGGGCUUUUACUGACGCUGAGGCUCGAAAGUGUGGGGAGCAAA